UGACACAACAUUUAUAGAUUCAGAAAAUAAAGACUCAAAGCAUAAAAUGAAGCAAAAUUAAGAAAGCAAUAAGGACUCAAAUUCCUAAAAGAAAACAGCCACUCAAUGGUGUAAGGAAUCCUAUCACAAGCUGCACAGAAUUUGUUCAAGAUCAAUUGAACAAUUGUGCUUCGGUUGGAUCUUCCAUAAGCACACCAAGAACAAUUUAAAAAGUAAAAAACAGCAAGACAA
rnacentral:lncRNA from 1 species